UCUGUCUACUGGGAUCUGUAGACUGGGAUCUGUGAUCUGUAGACUGGGAUCUGGGAUCUGUGAACUGGGAUCUGUGGACUGGGAUCUGUGGACUGGGAUCUGUAGACUGGGAUCUGUGAACUGGGAUCUGUGGACUGGGAUCCUGCUUCAGGGAGAAAGGGGAAGACGGUCUGUAGGACACUGGCUCCUUCUGGAUGAAUAGAAACUCCAUCUGUUACAUACAGAACAGCUUGCUAACUUCUCCCUCACACACACACACACCACAUUACAGCUACUGUCUGUCUGUACACUGAGAGAACCCGCAUGGAAGAGCAGUCCAAGUGUGUGAACAAGUGAAUUUAGGAGAGACACUUAUCAACAUGUUGAUAAACAUGACUUUAUUAAGCCUCUGUCCAGUGCUAUUCAUUCCCUUUACUUGUGUCAUCAUAAUAAUAAUAAGGGCUUUUCUUCCUUGAUAAUCUGUGCCAUUUCAUAUGAUGUAGCUCCUCUCUUGUUCUGUGCUCCUCUCUGCCUGUUAAGUGGAACUGUGUUGGUGUAAUCAAGUAGUCUGGCCGGAACAGAGAUCUACUGUUACCGCGGUGCUGGGGACCUGGCUGCCUGUCUGUCACAAUAAAAGGCUUGUGUUGUGUGUAUCACUCCACCAGCUGAGAUGAGGCUUGUUCCAUGCUAGAGCCUGGUAGAGAAUCUUUACUAGAGCCUGCUACCUAUAAAAUUGUGCCUAGAGCCUGCUAGCUAUAGCAUUGUGACUAGAGCCUGCUAGCUACAAUAUUGUGACUAGAGCCUGCUAGCUACAACAUUGUGACUAGAGCCUGCUAGCUACUAUAUUGAAACUAGAGCCUGCUAGCUACAAUAUUGAGACUAGAGCCUGGUAGCUACAACAUUGUGCCUAGCAACAUUGUGCUAGCUACAAUAUUGUGACUAGAGCCUGCUAGCUACAAUAUUGUAACUAGAGCCUGCUAGCUACAAUAUUGUGACUAGAGCCGGCUAGCUACAAUAUUGAGACUAGAGCCUGGUAGCUACAAUAUUGUGACUAGAGCCUGCUAGCUACAAUAUUGAGACUAGAGCCUGGUAGCUACAACAUUGAGCCUAGCAACAUUGUGCUAGCUACAAUAUAGUGACUAGAGCCUGCUAGCUACAACAUUGUGACUAGAGCCUGCUAGCUACAACAUUGUGACUAGAGCCUGCUAGCUACACUACUGUUCAAAAGUUUGUGGUCACUUAGAAAUGGCCUUGUUUUCCAUGAAAACUUAACUGAAAUUAGUUGCCAAAUUAAUAAUUAUUUUAAUUGAAAAAAUAGUGUCCUUUUGCUUUUGUCAAAGAAUCCUCCAUUUGCAGCAAUUACAGCCUUGCAGACCUUUGUCAAUGUAGUUAUCAAUUUGUUGAGGUAAUCUGAAGAGAUUUCACCCCAUGCUUCCUGAAGCACCUCCCACAAAUUGGAUUGGCUUGAUGGGCACUUCUUACGUACCAUACGGUCAAGCUGCUCCCACAACAGCUCAAUAGGGUUGAGAUCUGGUGACUGUGCUGGCCAUACCAUUAUAGAAAGAAUACCAGCUGUCUGCUUCUUCCCUAAAUAGUUCUUGCAUAGUUUGGAGCUGUGCUUUGGGUCAUUGUCCUGUUGUAGGAGGAAAUUGGCUCCAAUUAAGUGCUGUCCACGGGGUAUGACAUACAAAAUGCAAAAUGGAAUGAUAGCCUUCCUUCUUCAAGAUCCCUUUUACCCUGUACAAAUCUCCCACUUUACCACCACCAAAACACCACCGAACAUCACAUUGCCUCCACCAUGCUUGACAGAUGGCGUCAUCACUCCUCCAGCGUCUUUUCAUUUUUUCUGCGUUUCAUGAAUGUUCUUUGUGAUCCGAACACCUCAAACUUAGAUUAGUCUGUCCAUAACACUUUUUUCAAAUCUUCCUCUGUCCAGUGUCUGUUAUUUUCCCAAUCUUAAUCUUUUCUUUUUAUUGGCCAGUUUGAGAGAUGGCUUUUUCUUUGUAACUCUGCCUAGAAGGCCAGCAUCCUGGAGUCGCCUCUUCACUGUUGAUGUUGAGACUGGUGUUUUGAGGGUACUAUUUAAUGAAGCUGCCAGUUGAGGACGUGUGCGGCAUCUGUUUCUCAAACUAGACACUCUAAUGUACUUGUCCCCUUGCUCACUUGUGCACCGGGGCCUCCCACUCCUAUUCUGGUAAGCGCCAGUUUGCACUGUUCUGUGAAGGGAGUAGUAAACAGCGUUGUACGAGAGCUUCAGUUUCUUGGCAAUUUCUCGCAUGGCCUUCAUGAAGAGCCAUUGCUUCAUUUCUCAGAACAAGAAUAGACUGACGAGUUUCAGAAGAAAGUCCUUUGUUUCUGGCCAUUUUGAGCCUGUAAUCGAACCCACAAGUGCAGAUGCUUCUUUAAUCAGGACAACAGUUUUCAGCUGUGCUAACAUAAUUGCAAAAGGCUAAUGAUCAAUUAGACUUUUUAAAAUUUUAAACCUGAAUUAGUUAACAAAACGUGCCAUUGGAACACAGGCAUGAUAGUUGCUGAUAAUGGGGCUCUGUACGCCUAUGUAGAUAUUCCAUUAAACUUUUGAACAGUAGUGUAUAGCAUCUUGACUAGAGCCUGCUCCCUAUAACAUCGUGACUGGAGCCUGCUGCCUGUAGCAUCGUGACUAGAGCCUGCUAGCUAUAGCAUCGUGACUAGAGCCUGCUACCUAUAACAACAUUGUGACUAGAGCCUGCUAGCUAUAGCAUCUUGACUUGAGCCUGCUAGCUAUAGCAUCUUGACUUGAGCCUGCUAGCAAUAGCAUCUUGACUAGAGCCUGCUAGCAAUAGCAUCUUGACUAGAGCCUGCUAGCUAUAGCAUCUUGACUAGAGCCUGCUAGCUAUAGCAUCUUGACUAGAGCCUGCUAGCUAUAGCAUCUUGACUAGAGCCUGCUAGCUAUAGCAUCUUGACUAGAGCCUGCUAGCUAUAGCAUCUUGACUAGAGCCUGCUAGCUAUAGCAUCUUGACUAGAGCCUGCUAGCUAUAGCAUCUUGACUAGAGCCUGCUAGCUAUAGCAUCUUGACUAGAGCCUGCUAGCUAUAGCAUCUUGACUAGAGCCUGCUACCUGUCAGAAUGAUAAAUCAUCUAGUUAGUUCAUUGUUACAUCAACACCAGUUCUGUUUCACAUUCUAACUGACAUUUUCCUCACAUUAUCAGUGUCUUGGUACACACAUUCAUUACUGUGACAUGGUACACACGUUCAUUACUGUGACAAAGUAACCUAUUUGUCUGUUGGUGUUGCCUCAACCCCUUGUCAUUUCCUGUAAUAAAGUGGACUGUGGGCGGGAGGAGAUUUUCCUCUGUUUCCCUAGCGUUGAGAGUUUAGCCUUAACUCUCCCAGCCCGAUGCUGUUGGUUAACUAGCGUUGAGAGUUUAGCCUUAACUCUCCCAGCCUGAUGCUGUUGGUUAACUAGCGUUAGGAGGGUCGUAAAGCAGACAGAUGGAAGCAUAGGACCGUGUGGCGGUUAUCAAACACUGGUUACAGCAGGACGUUUAGAGCAGAGAGAAGUGUGUGUACACCAAACUGGAGAGGUGUGUGUGUGUGUGUGUGUGUGUGUGUUCCUCUUUCUCCACCUGCAGAUCAGGUUAGAUCAGUUUUGUGAAAUUCGGAUGCAAAUUCUCUGCUUCUAUUUGCCUAUGAUUUGUCCAUAUUUCUCUGCAAUGAAAAUCCUUCUGCAAGUGUGUGUCAGUCAGGUACUGCAAUCAUGUCAGAGCUAACAGGCUACAGAGUGUCUGAUAAUAACAGCUAACCACUUCCUUCCUUCCCCACUUAAAAAGAGAGGUAGAAACUGUUCAUAGCUGCAGUAGUCGAGUGCACCAGUAGUCGAGUGCACCAGUAGUCGAGUGCACCAGUAGUCGAGUGCACCAGUAGUCGAGUGCACCUGGCCUGACUGCAUCAACAUGUCCGUUGCAUUCCAAAUGGCACCCUGUUCCCUACAUUGGGCCCUGUAGGCCCGGGUCCAAGAUAGGGUGCCAUUUGGGAUGCGGUUCUCACUCACCUCUAGGGCCCUCACUAGGACAGUCCAGCUGUCUCACUAUUGAACUGGACCGUUUUAGUGUUCAUUAGGGCACACCGUAGCAAAAUGUUUUGCAAUAGAAAAUUAACCUUUGUGUUGUUAUUGGAGACGUUCAGGUAGAAUCUCUCCAUUUUAAUUUGUUGUUGUUGAACCACACCGACGCAUCAGUUCUGCUGUGUUAAACCAGACGCUAACUGUGUUGUGGUCUGUAACAUGUUGAUGAUGCUUUGUGUCUGGACAUACAGACAGAGAAUAUCUGUUAAAAUGACUAUUUAAAUACACAAAGUGUUAAUGAAAGAUGUGUAUAAACGGGAUUGCAACUUUCACUGGGAACAGGGGGGACAUGUCCCCCCCCCACAUUCGGAAAUUGUAUUUUUGUCGUCCGCCCCCCAGUUUUAUCAUUGGAACGUGAUACUAAACGAGGCAACGGUGUGCUUUAGGACCAUGCGGAUGCCUCUGAGGUUGGGUAGGCUGUUUGGAGUGUUUAUCUGACUGGAUACAUUUUGUUUUUGAUAUUUCCUCCCCAACUUCUAAAACCAAAGAUUCGCCCCUGUGUAUAAAUAUGUGUGUUUGGCUUCAGAAAGAAAAGCAUUAUUGAAGAAGACGACUUCUUCACAGGUAUCUUAUCUGUACAGGGAUGCAUUAAGGUGGCUGACUGUUCCUUUUUUACCCUGUGUGAGAUUGGUCAUUUUUCUAGUGUGGGCAACAGUGAGUGAAUAUGCCAGUGAACAGACCUUAUUCCAGGUAUCUUAAUAGUGACGCCUAUAUUAAUUCUCAGUCAUAACUCAGUCUACGUCCCAAAUCGCAACAUAUUUCCUAUACAGUGACCUACUUUUUUACCAUAAUCCAUAGGGAAUAACCCGGGUCCAUUCAUCCCAAAUGGCACCCUAUUCCCUAUAUAGUGACCUACUUUUUACCAUAAUCCAUAGGGAAUAACCCGGGUCCAUUCAUCCCAAAUGGCACCCUAUUCCCUAUAUAGUGCACUAGGGACCAGAAGUACUGUAAAGGGAAUAGGGUGCCAUUUUGGAUGAAUCCUAAGACUGACCAAUGAGCAUCAAGUAAUGUAAUCACAAAUAACUUUGGUUAUGGAGCUCAGAGUUAUGAGAGCCUGCCAGACUUCUGGUCCUUCCUCCUUGAUUGGUUAAUCAAUGUAGAUAUCCAGGUAAAGGUCAAAUAUUCUGGCUCUGCUUCUUUGUUGAUUUGAAUCAUUGUACUUUUUCUAUCUGUUAUUAAAGGCUCUCUCUCUGAUUUCAGUCGAGCCAUAAAUAGUGUAAUUGUUUCAACAUUUUAUCUCCUAGAAAAGAAAAUGCUAACAGAAUUUAUUUGUUACAGUAUAGUCAUAGUAGCCUGGUUGACGAGACUAUAUUCACAGUUCUCUCUCCUUUAGCACUAACAGUCAAGUAUUCACAAUUACCCACGUUUAAAACCAUGAGGCUGCAAUGAAAGCAACAUGGAGGAUUCUGUUAUUUCCUACGUAUAUUCCUAUAUAUCAAUUACCCACAUUUAAAACCAUGAGGCUGCAAUGAAAGCAACAUGGAGGAUUCUGUUGCUAUUUCCUACGUAUAUUCCUAUAUAUCAAUUACCCACGUUUCCUAUAUUUGUGUUGAAGCUGUAUAUUAUCUCUUGCUAUUCUUUGUCUUUGUAUGAAUAAUGUAUGUUUACACGCUCUCCUUACUCUCCCAAAUAACUGCUCUGUUUUGUAAUAAAAUACAAGCUGACCAUCCUUACUCCACCCGUCUGGUAUGUUUCAGAGUCAUGUUGCUGUGUUUGUUUACUGACCGACUGUAUUCACCUGCUCUGUUUUGUAAUAAAAUACAAGCUGACCAUCCUUACUCCACCCGUCUGGUAUGUUUCAGAGUCAUGUUGCUGUGUUUGUUUACUGACCGACUGUAUUCACCUGCUCUGUUUUGUAAUAAAAUACAAGCUUACCAUCCUUACUCCACCCGUCUGGUAUGUUUCAGAGUCAUGUUGCUGUGUUUGCUUUCUGACCGACUGUAUUCACCUGAGGGAGGAGGACAGGCCCUGGGGGAGGACC
ensembl:lncRNA